GACGAACGCUGACGGUGUGCUUUAGACAUGCAAGUCGAACGAGAAAGCCCUUCGGGGUGAGUAGAGUGGCGAACGGGUGAGUAACACGUGGGUAACCUGCCCCUCGCAGAGGGAUAACCGGGGGAAACCCCGGCUAAUACCUCGUACGCUUGCCGGGUCGCAUGGCUUGGCAAGGAAAGGUAGCUUCGGCCAUCCGGCGAGGGAUGGGCCCGCGGUCCAUUAGCUAGUUGGUGAGGUAACGGCCCACCAAGGCGACGAUGGAUAGCUGGUCUGAGAGGAUGAUCAGCCACACUGGGACUGAGACACGGCCCAGACUCCUACGGGAGGCAGCAGUCGGGAAUCUUGCGCAAUGGGCGAAAGCCUGACGCAGCAACACCGUGUGGGCGACGAAGGCCUUCGGGUCGUAAAGCCCUGUUGUUGGGGACGAAGGACGAAGGGUUAAUAGCCCCUAGUCUGACGGUACCCUUCGAGGAAGCCCCGGCUAACUACGUGCCAGCAGCCGCCGCGUAACAC
rnacentral:rRNA from 1 species